ensembl:lncRNA
AUGAGCAGCGACUAGAGACUGACCAGAGCAGGGAGUUUGGCCACCUGUUGAGGAGUGAUCAGAUGGCACUUAAAACGCAACGCACAGAAGGUAACACAAUUGUAAGAAUUCUUAGCUCAUUCAGAAGUAACUUUUAUUGGUCACUUGCUUGUUUAAUAAUCAAAAGCAUAACGUCAGCACAAAAGCACAGAAAGCUACUCUGGUAAGACACAGAGUCUCUGCCACUCGAGAUUACAUAGAAGCCUCAUUAUUUGCAGGUAUUAUAAUCCCAGGCAAACGAAAUUUCUUUCUGCAAACCUAGAACCUUUGACCCAUAUUUCCUCUGUCUGCUCUGCUCUUCCAAAGCGAAGAGGACAACUCACCCCGCUUCCUUGCAUCCACGUCCAUAUGUUCUGCCACCACUGUUUCUAAGAUGCUCUCAACCACGUAGAGUAAUUCUAACUUUUAAACAAAGAAGAAUAGAUCCUGAUCAUCCCAACAGAGAUCACCAAGAGGUCAGUGUGGAGACGAAAUCCCCGACCAGUGCUGCCACCAACAGAGAAUGUCACAGCAGCCGUGCACAAGCCAGACUCACGUGUGCACAGAGCCACAUCUGUGGAGACUCACCUGGAACAUGCUUGUCUCUGGACACCUGAACACCGAUGAGCAAGGGGCAUGGCCCUAACAAGGCACAGAUGGGCUGAUUGACAUGACCCAGAAGCAGAAACAAAAACAGAAACACAGACUCGGGGUAAAAGACGACGGAAACAGUUGGCAGAGCUGAGGGUCUCCUGCUAGGGCUUCUCUGCAGGAGCCAAGGAAAGACACACCUGGUGCUGCACAGACCGCACGGUGUUGUCUCAGGCAGGGCACGUAACUGGUUUUAGAAGAUGACCCACUGAGACAUCUCUGUGGAAUCUACAAAACUGGUCAAAAUGCAAUAUUCAAAUAGUUGAGCUGUAGCUCCCAUGCUUACGAAGCGAGCAUGUGUUAAUCAUUUAUUAUAGUGAGGGAACUAGCAAAAUGUUAGAGCUGGUUUGGUUCCUGAUUUCGGUUUUAAAUUGCUUUUCUUUAAUUGGCAUCCUUUUAAUACAUUUCUUUUUUGUGUUUAAAUUGCCCAGAUUUGGUUUCUGUUGCUUGUAACUAAGAGACCUGACUACUACACAAAUUGAUACCAUCAUUAAUUGCAAACAACAGACCUCUAGAGGAAGGAAGAAAAUUUUGGAGUGUUAUCUAGCUUUGUUGGAGCUGAGGGCCAUGAAAAUGUAGCUAAGAGAUACGACUCUGGCAGCUGAUGCUUGAUGAGCUCUCCCGUGAGGUCCCCUGGAAUUCACGGUCCCAUGAAUUCAAGGCUUUAGGGAGUGAAGGCGUGCAUUGUCUGUAGAGGAUUUAAAAACAUUAAUGCAAGUAACUACAAGUUGGUUUGAUUUUUAUUAUCACCUUGUACCCACAUACCCAUCCCACUAGCUUUCUUUGGCCUCUGCAGAAAGCAGGUUGGGUCUUGGAGAAAGAACGAUGAAGAGUAGUAACUCCUGUUACAACCACCGUUGCAAUACCAGUCUUUUUGCUGGAGAAAAUCAGCACAGGACAUCGCACUGGCCCGCUGUAUGGAGGAUACUGGCUGAGAGGAGCUGCAGAGCCAGAGGAGCGUCUUGCCGUCUUUUUCACCCCCUACCAUAAGAAGGAGGUCACUUGGCGGGCCUCUUCAGGGUUUGGAGGCAACAUUCAGUUGACUAUUCCCAAGCAUUUACUAGACGAAUUGGAAAACUGCCACGUCUGAGUUUGACCCGGAACAGAAGACGGCUCUCUAGCCCGCCCAGGCUGCGGCACAAGCAGCUCAGCUAUUGGCUGUUAUGACCCAGAAUAACCGAUUCACCGUAUUGUGUGGACAAAGUUGAAAACUAACAACUGCCAACACAUCCCGUAAAAAGCAACGAGGAAAGGGAUGGAAAAAAGGAAAUUUAAAAAAUAAAUAUGAUGCAUUGGUAAUUGUAAUAUUUCAACUUUGUCAACUUUGGUGACAGAGAAAGAAAAACCCAGGGAAACAUUCUACAAUCGUCUUUCUGAAACUGGAGAUGACACCGCAGUAGGUUUCAGCCUCAUGUCGUCUCCUGUCUCCUUGACAGGCCCUCCUUGGUUACCCGCCUGGAAGAAGUCUCCCCACCCGGUGUUGCUACGUAUCACAAGACUUCGUUUUCUUUCACUGUAAUUGUCACGCUUUCGACCGUUUUGCGUGUUUACUUUAUUUCCAAAUCUCCUCACCUGCACCAGAUUUAACAAAUCCUCUCACUGAGGCUGACCUGGCUCCUGCUGAUCUGAGUGCCCAGCAGCCAGCAGCCUGUGAACACCGUGUGUGUCACAUGUGUUGGAGGGGGCACUGAUUUGUCCCCAACAGAGUAGACACAUCAAGCUGUGGCCCAGCGUGCUCCUGUCUGGCCAGCACCUGUGGACUGACUGAGGGUCUCACUCACCAUGGUUUUGCCACACUGCACUGCUUCUGACAAAAGAACCUGCUUUAAGGGGGAAGGAGCAGAGCAAAUGCACCCAACUGUCCACGUGACGUCUCUUUCAGGAUGUUUUAAAGGCAUCUCAUGCUCAGCACAUCCAAACCAAACUCAUGAUCUUCCCCCGUAACCCAAGGCUCUUCCGCCAUUCUCUGAGUGAACGGUGCUGACAGCUCCCUGGUACCCAGACCAGAAACCUCAGCGCCAUCCUUGUCGCCUCCCCCUCUCUCAUCCUCAUACCUAAUCCAUUUCCAAGUCUUAUUAAUGUUCCCUUCUAAACAUUUCUUGAAUGCAUCCACUUCUCUCCGUUUCCUCCAUCCAUGCUGGGUGGAACUUUCAGGAUGACUCUUUGUUAUGG